rnacentral:rRNA from 1 species
GAUGAACGCUGGCGGUGUGCCUAAUACAUGCAAGUCGAACGGGAUCUUCGGAUCUAGUGGCGAACGGGUGAGUAACACGUUGGUACCUACCCCUAAGUGGGGAAUAACUGCCCGAAAGGGUGGCUAAUACCGCAUAAUCCCGCAAGGGUAAAGCAGUAAUGCGCUUAGGGAGGGGCCUGCGUCUGAUUAGCUAGUUGGUAGGGUAAUGGCCUACCAAGGCGACGAUCAGUAGCUGGAUCGAGAGGUUGACCAGCCACACUGGGACUGAGAUACGGCCCAGACUCCUACGGGAGGCAGCAGUAAGGAAUCUUCCACAAUGGACGAAAGUCUGAUGGAGCAACACCGCGUGCAGGAUGACGGCCUU